GACGAACGCUGGCGGCGUGCUUAACACAUGCAAGUCGAACGGAAAGGCCCUGCUUUUGUGGGGUGCUCGAGUGGCGAACGGGUGAGUAACACGUGAGUAACCUGCCCUUGACUUUGGGAUAACUUCAGGAAACUGGGGCUAAUACCGGAUAGGAGCUCCUGCUGCAUGGUGGGGGUUGGAAAGUUUCGGCGGUUGGGGAUGGACUCGCGGCUUAUCAGCUUGUUGGUGGGGUAGUGGCUUACCAAGGCUUUGACGGGUAGCCGGCCUGAGAGGGUGACCGGCCACAUUGGGACUGAGAUACGGCCCAGACUCCUCCGGGAGGCAGCAGUGGAGAAUAUUGCACAAUGGGCGGAAGCCUGAUGCAGCAACGCCGCGUGCGGGAUGACGGCCUUCGGGUUGUAAACCGCUUUCGCCUGUGACGAAGCGUGAGUGACGGUAAUGGGUAAAGAAGCACCGGCUAACUACGUG
rnacentral:rRNA from 1 species